GGUUCUAUGGUGUUAUGGUUAGAACUUCAGACUCUGACUCUGACAAUCUGAGUUCAAAUCUCAAUGUGGUACCA
rnacentral:tRNA from 1 species